AAUCCAGCAAAGGGCUGAGGAUGAAUCCCAAACUACAGCCUUGGGAUAAAAGCAGCAAUCUCCUGAGCUAGGAUGGGUAAAAGGGCCAGGCAGGGGCUAAGGUCCCACAGACUGGGUCAUUAAGUCUGGGGAGGGGACCCAGCAACCACUCUGUCUCUUUGGACUGCCCCGAUGUUCAUGUGCUAGAGUGGAGGAGGGUAUGCCUCAUCUGUCUGGAGGUUACAGAGAGGGAGCUACUCUCAGCUACUGCUCCGGCACCCUGCCUGCCUGCAGCCAACUCCCUCCGGUGAUGCUCAUGGACUAACCCUCGGAAACUGUAAGCAAGCCUCCAGUCAAAUGCUUUCUCCUAUAAA